CACGUAGGGGACGAGCGUUGUCCGGAUUCAUUGGGCGUAAAGCGCGCGUAGGCGGCUCGGAAAGUCGGGCGUGAAAUGACCGGGGCUCAACCCCGGGACUGCGUCCGAUACUUCCGAGCUGGAGGUAGGUAGGGGAGAUCGGAAUUCCUGGUGGUAGCGGUGAAAUGCGCAGAUAUCAGGAGGAACACCGGUGGCGAAGGCGG
rnacentral:rRNA from 1 species